CAGCACAUGUCCAUGUUGGGGUAAAGACGUGGAGUGGUCGUCUCGCCCAUCCGAUAUAGAGUCCAGAGGCGCAGGGCUCAUUCCCAAGGUCCCUUGGCCGACGGCGGCCGGGUCCGGCCUAGACCAGGCUCCUGUGAGGCAGCCCAGCGACUCUGUCUCCUCUGGCUCUGCCCACAGACACACUGUCACCCAAUGCUAGGAGCCACUGCUUGAGGAAGCCUGGGUUUGUCACUGCCUGCAGCCACAGACUACUCCUGCCUCAAAACGACGUCACGACACUGCAGAGCAGGCCAGCUCCAGCUGCACAUGGCCGCCUCCAUCUCUACACAACUUUGAGUCACAGAAAUGUCACGUGACCUGCAGAAGCCAAGGGUCCUCCUCCUUGGGGGUCUCUUUUACUGACUCUGUGACUCCCAGCCGGGGAUCUUCUGCCCCCAGGGGACACCGGGCCAUGUCUGGGGACAUCUGUGGUUGUCUUGACUAGGGGAGCUCCUGGCAUGGAGUGGGUGGAGGCCAGGGAUGCUGCUCGGCACCCUGCAGUGCCCAGGACGGCCCCACCCUUGAGAACGGUUCAGUCCCAAUGUCCACAGGGCCCAGGGGGAGACACCCAGCCCAACUCACAGAAGACCCAGGACAGGUGAUGGUGGUCUAUGUCAACCACCUGUUCAUGAGAGAGACACAGGGAGGAGAGGGGGCACCUGCCAACCGUUUCAUGCGCUGGUAGAGACCGGGAAUAGCUUGGACAGAUUGUUCCUGGAUAACACAAGACAGCUUCCUGUUUAAAAAACAAAACUCCGGCCCGGAGCAGGGGCUCACGCCUAUAAUCCCAGCACUUUGGGAGGCUGAGGCGGGCAGAUUACUUGAGCCCACAAGUUGGAGACCAGCCUGACUAACAUGGCGAAACCCCGUCUCUACUAAAAAUACAAAAAUUAGCUGGGUGUGGACGCAGGUGCCUGUAAUCCCAGCAACUUGGGAGGCCGAGGCAGGAGAAUCGCUUGAACCCGGGAGGCAGAGGUUGCAGUGAGCCGAGAUUGCACUACUGCACUCCAGCCUGGGCGACAGAGCAAGACUUGGUCUCAAAAACACACACAAAAAACCAAAACUCCAAGCGCAGAGCACCCAGUGCCAUCUUCGUCCGAAUGCAGCACUCCUGGCUGGGUCACGGCCACCCCUAGGCCAGUGCCUGGCCAGGGGCUUCUCUUGUCUAUGACCAGGCAGGUCACAGGCGGGAGGGACCCAGGUCAGGCUCAGCUGCUGCCCCACCGGAAACAGACCCAGCAGCCUUGCCUAGACCCCAGGUGGGUCCAGGUUUUUCUAUUGGGGCAGAGAGAGUGGGCCAGGAUGGGGGCGUCUCUCAGCUCUGCAAGCUGGAGAAUUAACUCCGGGACUUGAGCUCGGGGUCCCCGCUGGGCGCAGGCGUGGGCUCCAGCGGGAAGGAAGCCCCUCGUUGGGUUCUCAGCAUGGACAGCUGGAUGGCAUCACUGGAUUCCCUCACCUGGAUCCGGAGACAAAAGGGGAGAAAAUGAUGAGGCAGCGCCCAGGCCUGCGGGGUUGAGUCAGCCGUAAUAACAGCCUGUUGGCCCUA
ensembl:lncRNA novel transcript